UACGUAGGGUGCGAGCGUUGUCCGGAAUUAUUGGGCGUAAAGAGCUCGUAGGCGGUCUGUCGCGUCGAUCGUGAAAACUUGGGGCUUAACUCUGAGCUUGCGGUCGAUACGGGCAUGACUGGAGUUCGGCAGGGGAGACUGGAAUUCCUGGUGUAGCGGUGAAAUGCGCAGAUAUCAGGAAGAACACCCGUGGCUAAGGCGGCUCUCUAGUACGGUACUGACGCUGAGACGCGAAAAGCGUUGGGGAGCGAACAGG
rnacentral:rRNA from 1 species